rnacentral:rRNA from 1 species
GAUUCGAUUUAGCCAUGCAAGUCCAGGGGCUCUUCGGAGCACCGGCAUAAGGCUCAGUAACACGUCGUUAAUCUGCCCUUGAGUCAGGGACAACCACGGGAAACUGUGGUUAAACCCUGAUAGGAAAUGUUGCCUGGAAUGGUUUAUUUCUCAAACUCGUGCUCAAGGAUGAGACGGCGGCUGAUUAGGCUGUUGGCGAGGUAAUGGCUCACCAAACCUUUGAUCAGUAGGGGCCCUGAAAGGGGUAGCCCCGAGAAGGACACUGAGGAACUGGUCCUAGCCCUACGGGGUGCAGCAGGCGCGAAACCUUUACAAUGCACGAAAGUGUGAUAAGGGAAUCCCAAGUGCUCAUGCACUGCAUGGGCUUUUGCUAAAUGUAAAAAGUUUGGCGAAUAAGUGGUGGGUAAGACUGGUGCCAGCCGCCGCGGUAACACCAGCGCCACGAGUGGCAAUCACGAUUAUUAGGCCUAAAGCGUUCGUAGCCGGAUUAUUAAAUCCCUUGUGAAAUUGUCAGGCUCAACUUGACAGCUUGCAGGGGACACUAGUAAUCUUGAGACCGGGAGGAGUAGGAAGUAUUGUUGGGGGACUGGUAAAAUGGAAUAAUCCCAACAAGACUACCUGUGGCGAAGGCGUCCAACCAGAACGGCUCUGACGGUGAGGGACGAAAGCCAGGGGAGCGAACCGGAUUAGAUACCCGAGUAGUCCUGGCCGUAAACGCUGCGAGCUAGGUGUUGCAUCUCCUUCGAGGAGGUGCAGUGUCGAAGCGAAGGCAAUAAGCUCGCCGCCUGGGAAGUACGGUCGCAAGACUGAAACUUUAAGGAAUUGGCGGGGGAGCACCACAAGGGGUGCGGCGUGCGGUUUAAUCUAACUCCACACAGAGAAUCUCACUGGGAGCGACGGCCGGAUGAUAGUCAGUCUGAAGGGCUUACUUGACAAGCCGAGAGGUAGUGCAUGGCCGCCGCCAGCUCGUGCCGUGAGGUGUCCAGCUAAGUCUGGUAACGAGCGAGACCUGUAUCUACAAUUGCCAGUGGCAUGUACGCAUGGACCGGGCACAUUGUAGAGACUGCUUUCGUAAGAAAGAGGAAGGUGCAGGCUACGGUAGGUCUGUAUGCUCCGAAUCUCCUAGGCUACACGCGCGCAACAAUGGUAAAGACAAUGGGCUGCGACUCCGAAAGGAGAAGCUAAUCCUCGAAACUUUAUCCAAGUCCAGAUCGAGGUUUGUAACUCAACCUCGUGACGCCGGAAUCCCUAGUAAUCAGAGGUUAUCAGCUUCUGGUGAAUAUGUCCCUGCUCCUUGCACACACCGCCCGUCAAACCAACCGAGCAGGGUUUGGGUGAGUGCUAUCCUUUAGGUAGUACAAAUCUAAGCCCAGUGAGGUGGGUUAAGUCGUCACAAGGUA